rnacentral:rRNA from 1 species
AGAGCGAACGCUGGCGGCAGGCCUAACACAUGCAAGUCGAGCGCCCGUAGCAAUACGGGAGCGGCAGACGGGAUAGUAACACGUGGGAACGCGCCCUUCGGUUCGGAAUAACUCAGGGAAACUUGAGCUAAUACCGAAUACGCCCUUACGGGGAAAGAUUUAUUGCCGAAGGAACGGCCCGCGUCCGAUUAGCUAGUUGGUGAGGUAAUGGCUCACCAAGGCUACGAUCGGUAGCUGGUCUGAGAGGAUGACCAGCAUCACUGGGACUGAGACACGGCCCAGACUCCUACGGGAGGCAGCAGUGGGGAAUAUUGGACAAUGGGCGCAAGCCUGAUCCAGCCAUGCCGCGUGGAUGAUGAAGGCCGUUAGGGUUGUAAAGUCCGUUUUAACGGGGAAGAUAAUGACGGUACCCGUAGAAGUAAGCCCCGGCUAACUUCGUGCCAGCAGCCGC